UACGUAUGGGGCAAGCGUUGUCCGGAUUUAUUGGGCGUAAAGAGCGUGUAGGCGGUUUGGUAGGUCCGCUGUGAAAACUCGAGGCUCAACCUCGAGACGCCGGUGGAAACCAUCAGGCUAGAGUCCGGAAGAGGAGAGUGGAAUUCCUGGUGUAGCGGUGAAAUGCGCAGAUAUCAGGAGGAACACGGUGGCGAAGGCGGGUCUCUGGGCCGAUACUGACGCUGAGGAGCGAAAGCGUGGGGAGCGAACAGG
rnacentral:rRNA from 1 species